UGGAGAACCUGCAUUUCUAACAAGUUCCCAGGCGAUGCUGAUGUUUCUCGUCCAGCGACCACACUUUGAAAACUUCUGCUUAGCAGAUACUGCCAAACUGUUUUCCAAAGUAUUUGUACCAAUUUACCAUCCCACCAAGAUGAGAGUGCCAGUUGCUCUGCUUGGUAUUAUCCUCCUUUUAAAUUCCGGUCAUAUGGAUGGAGAUGGAAGGUGAAAAGUCAAUAUGUGGGGCAUGGAACCUUCUAGAAGAGCAACUGAUGUUGUCUCUCCACUUCUCCAAGGAACUUGGAAAGGCUGAGCAGAAAGGAGGGGGUGCAGCAGGAAGCAACAUAUCUCAAAUCAGAACCAACUCACGGAGGCUGGCCCCCAAAGUUGUCACUGCUGCAGCCUACUGCAAUGUAGUCGGGUCAGGUGGAGUUCCCCAACUGGACGAAGAGCACCAUCAACAUUGACUGGCAAUACUUCAGAGGCCUUUUGGUGAUUGUUAGACUGGGCAGGACAGGAGGUGACACUGUGCAAUGAUUGAAAAAGAGACUCUGAAAAGAUAGAGAAAGGAGAAGGAACUGGUGGUUUUGAAAUAGAACUGUGGAUAGAGGGGGUCAGGGGAAGAAGAGGAUGGAGGACAUUCAUCUUCAGAAGAAAGCAUCAGGGGUCCUGGCUCUUGAAGAGAGGAAGGGAGACAGGGUAGGUGCUGGUUGCAUGGGGAAAGAUGACAGAGCAUGGAUAUGAGACCCAAGCACCCCCAAUAACUGGGAUUGGACAUUUCUAGUCAGUCUGCCUAUGAGGAGAGUGAUAAAGCCUGGUGGGGAUAUUUGAUGGAUGAACCAAGGAAGAAGUAUGUGAGGUGAGAUUUUUAUAAAGAUGUGGUGGAAGACCAAUGAGAUUGUGAAUCAGGGAUGGAAAAUGUAGGACGUGUUUACUUCCUCUUUGGGCAGGAAAAGAAGAAAAGAAAACCCAUUGGCUUUAGAAUUUUUAUAUGUUUGCUAAGUGAAGUGACAAAAUGGCGUCUGAGAAGAGACCUUUGAGACACACCAGUUGAAAGAGGAAUGAUGGUGAGAAGCUAUUAGUGUUUAAGGGCUCCCUGAACCUGUGAGAGAUAAGAUUGGGUUUGGCUCAGGAAGGAGGACAAAAGUUAAAGGUCCAGGGACAAGUGAGCUAAAUCCAACCGUUUUUAUGGGAGAAGAGGAAGAAGAAAGAAGUGGGAUCCCCCAAAUAAUAAAAAAGUAGGAGUCCAGAAAGCGAAAGAAAAGGCCUCAAUGAGUGUGAAGUGAGCCAAGAACUCUGGAUUUGAACCCAGAGUCAAGUCUUUCCAUCGGUGUUCCAUGGGCGAGUACUAGCUUCUC
rnacentral:lncRNA from 1 species